CGGGAGGAGGGAGCUUCCCGCGGCGCGCGCGGUAUGGUCGCAAGUGUGGUCCAGGGCGGCCUCCUGCAGGAGUCCCUCGGCUGGAGCGCCAAGUGCGUGGGGCUCCGUGCCAGCUCAUGCCACGAGCUGAAGCCAGAUCGCAAAGGGCCUUUUCUGGAAGGCCAGAGGAUUUGAACUGCAUCUGGGGGGAAUGGGGAGGCGGCAGACGGGUUUUAAGCAGCGGAGUGAUGGGAUCAGAUCUGCCCGAUACCCACACAGCCCCUGCUCUUGUGUCUAGGGCCAGAAGAGAGGUGGGGACCCUGUGGCUGUCGUCCAGGGGUCCAAGUGGGGGGUAAAGGGAACCAGGGCCGUGGGAGGUGGGGAAGAGGGACGGUUAGGUGAGACAUUCGGGGAGGGAAUCAGUAGACCCUCGGGGGCAAGACGUUGAGGACAAGAUUACGUUCUUUGCCAGGAACCUCUGGGCGUGUGUGCGUCUGCCUGUGACGGUGUGCGUCUGUUUACGUGCGUGUCACGUGUAUGGUGCAUGUGCGUACGUGCACGUGACGCUGCUCUCUGGACGCACGCUGGGGCUCGCACGCACCUGUGUCCGUGAGCUUCCGGAUGCUCUCAGGCACAUCUGCACGCACGACCGUUAUCUGUGUGUCUGUCUCAUGGUCUGUGUGUCCACCUGCUGCUCCCAGUCCAAGGGCGAAGCCCCCGCCUCUCACGCUCUGGGCUCAGUGGAGCGCUCACUCAGUGGGGCACUCCGUGUGCCACGCACCUCCAGUGACUUAAGCUGUAGACGCUCCCACUGCUAAGGCGAGAUGCACCUUCUGUCCCUGUUUGAUGCUGCAACGUGAACCCUGAGGCAGUUCUUCAAAGGGAGUACUGGGGGUGGAAAGAAAGGAGGCACACGUCAGGAUUAAAACUGCGAACUGACCGUGCCCCUGCUCAGCCCUGGCCCAGGGACCUUCCUCCACAGACAGGCUGUGAUUUGCAGCUGCAUUUCCCCCAGGCCAGGAUGAGGGGCUUCUGGGAACCGGUGAUGGGCAGGGCUUGGGGAGGGGAGAGAGCUGCCCUCCCAACCCAGCAAGUCCCUUCACCAGCCGCCAGCCGCGAGCCGGCAGGUGGAAUGGGCUGCCCAUAGGGGCUGAACAGAGGAGCCCUCCCUUCCUUCCUUCCUUCCUUCCUUCCUUCCUUCCUUCCUUCCUUCCUUCCUGUCCUCCUCUUUAGCUCGCUCCCUUCCUCUCUUCUCUUUCUCCCUGCCCUCCUCUUCCUUUCCCUCCCUCCCUUCCCUGCCCUCCUUCCCUAUCCACCAUUUCCGGAGGACUUGGAGGCUUGGCACCGACUCCCAUGUGUGUAUUAACUCUGAUGCUUAGUGAUGGUGUGAUGGCAUGAUGGCGGGCAGGUGCUCCCCUCUCACCUCGCAGGGUCGUUAGAAUUAUGUGAAUUCAGGCUCCAGUGCACAGCACAGUGCCAGGCUCCCCGGAGGAACUCAAAUGGCAGCCAUCCGUUUGUGCAGUGGAUCAAUAAGGCAUCUCCCCAUCAAAUUGGCUUUACCAGUCAGAGACAUGGUCAGAUAAACAAAUAGUGCAAUAAGAGUUUUACAAAAGGUGGGGGGCUAGGGUGCUUGGAGGAGGCUCGGAAGAGGAAGGGCCACCCUUCCUAGGAAAGGUAUAGGAUCAGGGAGAGCUUCCUGGAAGAGGUGCCUCCUGAGUCUUAAAGGCCGGCCGGAUUUCACCGAGUGAGUCCGAGGUGAGGGCAUCCAGGUGAGGGGAGGAUUUUGCGGAGGUGUGGGAAGGAAACUACAAAAGCACCACGGUGCAUCCGGGCCUCUGGUUCCGUGUGGGGAGAUGGCCGCGGGCUGCAAUGCGAGGCAGGUCUGUGAGUGAGGCGUGCCCCGGGGAGAGUUUAACCAGAUGACCAGUGCUGGGCUGAGGGGUCUCAGAAAAACCUUUCCAGGCCGAAAGAGCUUUUCCACUCAGGUGGCAGGCUGCCUUUGGUGGCCGCCCACAUGCCUCUUCGGGUGGGGGGGGGGGCUUGCUGGAAGGGCUGUGGCAGGUGGCCUUCAGCGGUCAGCUCCUGCAGGAUGGCCCUAGCUGCAGAGGGGGCUGUAUGCCAGCUCCCCCCGCUUCCCCCCGCCGCAGCCCACAUUCAGGGAGCGACCGGUGCCAGAAGCUAAGGAUCUGGCCGUCGUGGCCCAAGUCAAGACAACUCUGAGGGGCUGAUCCAGCCCCAGGACUUCCCUGAGAGGUCAGCUGAGGCUGUCAGUGGGCCCGUACUGCACUGUGACCUCUGCCUCUGCCUCCCCUGCCUUCCCUCCCUCCCACCGCUGUGGAUCCCAGGGGCUCCCUAACCAGUGGUCCGCUGUUAUCAGCACUCGCGUCCAUCUGAGUCUGCGGCUGAGCCUUCAGCCUGAACGGUGCCCUUGCAACCUUCUUUCCCACCCCGCCUCUUUGUCUAGUAACCUUCCUUUUUGUUGAAGUGCCACAUGCAUACAGAAAGGUGCAAAGCUCUUUGAAUUAUGGACAACUCAAAUCCUUGCAAAGUGAACCCGGCCCGUCACCGUUGCCCAGAUCAGGAAGCAGAAUUUUAGCACCCUUGCCCGAAUCCCUUCGUGCCUGUCUCCGUCCUGAAGGCCAUGGGAAGUACCAGCGUUUUAUCAGCAGGAACAUGUGCUUCAGAGAGCCCACUCCGCUGCAGUAUGGAAGAUGGAUCUGAGUGGAGAGAGACUCUGGGCGUGUUGUUACCUGCCGCUGACCCUGGUUUAUGAGGACGGCGCUUCGGCAUCUGAACAGGCAACAUAAGGAGAAAGGGAGUCUAACCUACUUUCCAGCAGCAUCUCAUUUCUAAAUCAAAAUUUCCAAAAUUCUUCUAUCCCUACACCUGGCCUCUGAGGGGGAUUGAAGAGGGAAAAGAUUGGGGUCCCAGGACAUCCAGGUGCCCAGGGAAGUUGGUUCAGUAAGGCUGCUGAGAUGGGGGCCCAGCCUGCAGGGAGGAAGGCGGAGGAGGAACCCCAUACUUGGCGCGUCUGACAUCCGCAGAUGCCUCAGACCACCCUGAGCACCACUGCGGGACGGCGCCCAGCGAGGGCAAGGCCACAGAGAGGUUUCCUUCCUGUUUUCAGGUCAGGUGCCUGUAGUGAAGACUCAGUGGGUUGUGAAAUGCCUCUCCCUCUCCUCCGCUUCCUUCCAUGUCCUGUCUGCCUGCCUCUUUCUCUUUUCAUGAUCUUCCUUGUUCCAUCACACGGGGGAUACACAACCGCAUUUUCAGGUAAGACGCUGAGACCAUACAUGAUUGAGGUUACAAAGCAAAGCGUCAGCACCCUGCCGUGCCUCCACCUCCCCCACAAUCCCCCUUUCCUCCUCCCAGGUGGAAUCAGUGCCAGAGUUUGGUAUGCGCAUCUCAUCCCCGUAGCUGGGGGGAAGUUCCUGCACUUACACAUAUGUGAAUACACACGUCUGCCCGGUAUAUACAAAUAUGGCCUUCUUACCUAUAUGCCUACGUGUACACGUACCUACGUAUAGCUUUUGCGAUGCUUUGAUGUAAUCGAGGCCAUACCAUAAGUGUUCUGCAACUUGCUAUUUGCCUGUGAUGUGUUUGGGGGAACCGUCAAUCACAGAACACACAGGUCUACACGGAGCCCUGUCUCGUCCUAACGGCUGCACGUUCCAACCUGCAGAUUUCUACAGGUUUUUUAACCUCUCCUUAUGGACAGU